UACGGGGGGGGCAAGCGUUGUUCGGAAUUACUGGGCGUAAAGGGCUCGUAGGUGGCCAACUAAGUCAGACGUGAAAUCCCUCGGCUUAACCGGGGAACUGCGUCUGAUACUGGAUGGCUAGAGAUUGGGAGAGGGAUGCGGAAUUCCAGGUGUAGCGGUGAAAUGCGUAGAGAUCAGGAAGAACACCGGUGGCGAAAGCGCUCUGCUAGGCCGCAACUGACACUGAGGGACGAAAGCUAGGGGAGCGAAUGGG
rnacentral:rRNA from 1 species